CGUUGGGCUCCUGGCAUGGAGCCUGCUUCUCCCUCUGCCUGUGUCUCUGCCUCUCUCUAUCACGAAUAAAUAAAUAAAUAAAAUCUUUAAAAAAAUAAAAAGAUAAAAAUCCUCUUUAAGAAGAUGUUGUAAUUAAAAUCUAAACACCCGUAUUAUCAUUACUUAUCUUCUCUGAGAGCCGCAAAGCCAUUUUAAAUUAAUCCAGUGAAAAUAAAAUACUGUUGCUUUACCUUUAGGAAUAAACUGACAUCCAAGCAGUUCCAUUUUCAUGGCAAUUUUCUGCUGCCACUGGGUAGGAUUCACUCUAAUAAAACGUGCAACAAUUGGUGGCAAAAAGUUAUUACGCACAUCCUGGUGAUAAUCUUUGUUUCCUUGAAAUAUCUUUAAAAAACAACAAAAAAUUGGUACUUUACAUCAACAGAAGUCAGGGUUAUACUGUUCCACUGAAACAUUUUUGUUUUUUUUGUUUUUUUUUGCUCUGGGUCUUAAAUGACAUCUGUAAAGUAUGACAGUAAGAAUUAAUUUCUCAGAAAAUAAAUUAAUCAUAAUUUGGACAAACUAUUAAGAAGCUACACAUUCUUAAUCAAACACUUAUAAAAGUACUGAAUACACAAACGAUUUUAAUGUGAUUUAAACAUAAUAAAAAUGCUAACUUGGCAACUGGGAAGAGGGUUUCAGUCCCGUGAGGCAGUAUAAUUCUAUUAGUAAAUUAGGAAUUGUAGCCCUGUGGGAUUACCAACUGUUCAAAUAUAUUAAUUUUCAAAGUGAAGCAUAAUUGAACAUACAGUCUUAGAGGAAAUGCUUUACUGUGUACUUUUCAUAAUUUUUCUCACAGAAGAGGCACAGAAAGUGAACAUCGACUAAGGAAUAUGCAACAGUCAGAUACCCCCACCUACUGGAUAAACGACAUAAAGACAGUUCUCAUGUUAAACCCACUUUCAUUCCUUGUUGCUAUCUAAACCAGACAAGUGAUUCUGAAACGCUGCUGCCUAAUUUUAAUGAACCCAUGUAAACAGCAACAGAUGCAUUCUAUGUAUUAUAUGCAUUCUAUGUAUUAGGUAAAAAUACGAUUUCAAGUGACUAGCUCAUCCCCUCAAUCAUUUCAAGCAUAUCAUGAUAAUAUAUAACACUGAAGGGCUCUUAUUUACAAAGCAUUUUCACAUAAUUAUCUCAACUGUUCUCUAGGACAACCCCAUGAAAUACACAGGACCCAGAAAACUGCAGCUCCCAGAAUUUCUAGAUGAGAAGAACUUGGCCUUCCUUGGGAGCAAGGACUUCCCCGAGUUCCAAGGUCCUCGUGGUGGAUCACAGGCCAGAAGCCCAGGUGAAAGUGUCAUCUAGAGGAUAGCCACUACUCCCCACUCCCCACCCCUGAUCAUCUGCUCUGAAACAUUCCUGCAUUAUCACUGUCUGUGAACUAAAACAAUUUGACAACUAGCAUGGAAGCUAAGGAAACUCUUCAGAUAGGAAAAAAGUUUUCUAAGCCCCAAUUUGCUAUAGUGAUCUUGAAAUAAACUUUCAAGUCUACAUCCCAUCCUAUAAUGCACUUUUGCCUUCAGCUAUUGUCUGUUGUCCCCUUGCCUCCAUAGAAGAAAUCUGGGGACAAAUUAGGCUCUCCAUCAUUCUGUGGAUUAACAGGAAAAACUUAUUUAUGACAAGAAAUUACAAGUUCCUUUUUAGAAUUUUUUUUAAUAAGUUACCACUACUGAUUGAAAAUUAUUCAUUCCUUCAUUCACUUAUGUAGGCUCUACACUCAAAGUGAGGUUUAAAUUCAUGACCCUGAGAUCAAGAGUCACACGCUUUGCCACAUGAGCCAGCCAGGUGCCCCUUCUUUUUAGAACUUCUUAAUCAAGUACCUAAACAAUUGAGUUAAGAAAUCUGAGAUCAUCAAAAGGAACCUAGAACCACUGAGAAUUUCCUAACCACAGUUAGAAGAGUACGGCUAAUAACCAACACAACCUACAUAACCAAGAGACAGCAAAGACCUAGCAAUAGCUAACAUGAACACUGCACAUGAAAAUGUCCACGAUUUCUGGCAGAGGCCCAUUUUCAAAAACACCCUGGCAAUCAUCUUACCUUAUCCUGCUCCACGCCUGGCUCUCUGUACACAGUCCAUCUCUGUCCAUCAUCGCUGUAUAGAAUUCUGUAGGCUGACACAUAGUAAUUGUGUUCCACCAUGGUGGAGCCAGUGGUUACAAUGCCUAGGGAAUGGAAAGUUGCUUUCGUUAGUGCACACAGUCUGAUCCUUGAAGUCUGUUCAGCAUUGAAGCACAAACAUCCAAAGUGCACUGUUAAAGCAUGCUUGCCAAUGGCCCAUUACCAUCUCCAAGUGCAAGGUUUCAUUAUAAUAGCAACUAAAUCCUUGCCUUUGUUCCCUUGUAGAGACACAAGAGUUAGGGGAGCACAUAGGGAAAGGACUGUUCUAUUUUGACAGCCUGUAUUCAUGUCAUUGCAAAAUAUAUCUCAUCUACCAAGUAACAAUGACUGCCUAGGAAUGAAUGGAUUAAAACAAUUAUUUUUUUCAGUGCCAAAUCAAAAUAAAUCUUUAACAAAACUACCUCACCUAAUAAUUCUAAUAAAUUAUACUGACCAUUUGAUAAAUUGCUCCAAAUAAAUUUGUAUUCAGACACAUGCAGAAUAUUAUUUAUAGCACUUAAAAUGAACUCCUUGAACAUGAAUUUCCUUUAAUAACUAGAAGAGAUGGUAAUUUCAAAUAUCAAGAUCACUUAAUUGAAACACUACCUUAAAAGAAUCUUAUUACGAUAAAAACGAAAAGCUAGUAAAAAUCAAAAACCAACACCUUUACUCUGCCACGUUUUAAUAAAACCACCUUUUGGAAUACUUAACACCAGUAAAGAAAACUUAAAACCAUACAAUUAAAUUGGCAGUGACCUAAUUUCCUAUGAAAAUCUUAGAUGUCAUCAGAUUUCCAAAUAAAAUCAGAACUAUAAAGCAUUCUAGAAAAUUAUGUCUCUUGACCUGUUAUCUUCUUUUCUUUAUUCAGAUCUAUUUGUAACCACUGAUAUUCAUCAGUGGCAAAAGCAGCCCAGGGAGGCCCAGGUUUCUUCAGCCUGGCCUUUUCGGGUUUCCAACUGUUCUCUUGUCCUGUGUGGUCAGUCCAUUCCAGCACAGAUGAUGCUGUUAUUUGAGGAUCGGCAAUCACACCAGAUUCCAUCCCCAGGGUUCCAUAACAACCUGAAACAAAAAAGACAGAAAUUUGGUUUCUAGAUAUAAAUUCAAAAUCUGUAUAAAUUUGCUCACUGGAAACUUUCUAUUGUAUAUGCAAUUAAUAUACACUGUCCUAAUAAUAUACUGUAAUAGAGAAAUAACAAAAGUAGGCAAAUGUUUCUUGGGUCCAUGUCUUUGUGUCUCAUCAGGAAAUGUACAGACAUAUUUAUUCACAAGCAAUAACCAUUAAUUUAAUGGGAAUACAUUAUCCUCUCCCUGUGAUACUGUCUCCAGACCAGUGGAGGACUCACUCCCUACUGCAGUUAGGUGUUUGCUCAGAUGUCACAUUCUCCAUGAGGCCUAUCCUGACCCCACUUAAAACUCCAAGCCAGGCACUCCUGCGUUGCCUAUAUCUGCUUUCCUUGACCGAUUUUUCUACAUCUUCAAUAAUAUUAUAAAAAGUACAUCAUAUAUAGUAAUUUAUUUACCUACUGUUUACUGUUAAUCUCUCAAUACUAGUAUCUAAGCUCCAAGAAAGGAGGAUCUUGUUUAUUCUGUUCACCUUUGUUUCACUAGCACCAGGACAGUGCCUAACAAAUCAAAGGCACUCAAUAAGUAUUUUCUGUUGAAUUAAUUCCUUCUUCAGACAUAUUUAAAAAAUAACCUUUCCUAAGGAACUUUCCUUGCUACAUGAUCAUUUCUUUAUUAAAUAUAAAACCUCCAGUUUAUUCCAUCUAUUAUAUUAUUGUGACAUACAAGAAGGUGCAAAACACCAGCAAUUGGAAUACUACAUAUUUUAAAAAUAUUAACUAUUAUGCAAAUUAUAAUAAGUUAUAAAGUCCAUGAGAGGCUUACCACUUGUCUUAAAUGUAAAAAGACUUGUAGAUAAGUGUCCCCUGAAAGAGAGAAAGGUUGUUCUUGGUGACACUCAUAUAUUGACUUCCCUAUAUUUUUCUUAAGUAAAACUUUUUCUUUUGUUUUUACUUUACUAUAUAAAGAACUAAGGAUAUUCUAUGGCUAUAUGUUAGACAACCGAUGCUAUUCUUAGGCAAAAAAGGUCUCAUUUCAAAGCAGAACAAUUUCUGAAAUCAGCAUAAUCAACUUUCUCUACGAGUACCUAGUGCCUGUCUCAUACAUGAAAUGUGCCAAGUAAUCCCGUGUAACCUUUAACAUGUACUUAUUUAUCUUUCAUGGAAAUAAACUGAUUCCUCAAA